CGGGGGAGGCCGGAUCCUGGGCUGUGUCCCGGCGCCCUGUGCCCCGGGUCCUGUGCUGCUGGAUUCGCGCUCCCGGCCAUGCAGCCCCCU
rnacentral:pre_miRNA from 1 species